rnacentral:lncRNA from 1 species
CGAUUAGACUGGAGAGGCUGACAGAUAGGAUAAUGGAAAGUGGGUGGUGGGAGAAAAAGUUGGAAAGUUGAUUUGGGGCAAGAUGAAGAAACUUGAAUGCCACGUCAAAAACCUUUAACAUAAUCUCCUAGUAACGGGGCGCUAACAGCGGUCUUCCAGCUGAAGGGCACCGUCCUCGGAUCUGUAUUUGGAAAGACAACUCUGGUCGCAGUGUGAGAUGUGGAGGAGAGGUGGGGAAAACUGAGAGGGAGGCUUCUGAAAACGGCUAGGCAGGACAUCUGAGCGAGGGCAAUAAGAGGAGCAGGGUUAAGAAGAAGGGAUGGAUUCCGGAGAAUUCUUUAAGUGUCUGUUGUCGACACAGAAUCCAAAAGAGAUCUGCUUCAUUUUUCGGUGGAGAAGCUCUAGAACAGUGUUGACCAAUAGAACUUCUGCUCUGACGGACACAUGCUGUAUCUGUGUUGUUCAAUACACAGGCACUAGCCACACGACCUUUGAAAGUAAAAUGAGGUCAUCUGAAUGGGCCCUAAUCCAACGUGACUGGUGUCCCUACAAGAAGAGGACAUUAGGACAUAGGCACACAGAGGGGAAGACCAUAUGGAAACACGUGGAGAAGAUGGCCAUCCACGAGACACGGAGAGAGGCCUCAGAAGAAACCAACCCUGCUGACAUCGUGCUCUUGGACUUCUAGCCUCCAGAGUUGUGAGAAAAUAAAUUUCUGUUGUUUAAACCACCCAAUGUGUGGCAUUUGUUACUGCUG